rnacentral:rRNA from 1 species
UUCGAUGCAACGCGAAGAACCUUACCUGGUCUUGACAUCCCGGAGACCCUUAGGAACUAGGGGUGCUUCCAUCUGGAAGAAUCUGGAGACAGGUGCUGCAUGGCUGUCGUCAGCUCGUGUCGUGAGAUGUUGGGUUUAAGUCCCGCAACGAGCGCAACCCUUGCCUUUAGUUGCCAGCAGUUCGGCUGGGCACUCUAAAGGGACUGCCGGUGUUAAACCGGAGGAAGUGGGGAUGACGUCAAGUCCUCAUGGCCUUUAUGACCAGGGCUACACACGUACUACAAUGGCCGAUACAAAGGGCAGCGACACUGCGAGGUGAAGCCAAUCCCGUAAAAUCGGUCUCAGUCCGGAUUGGAGUCUGCAACUCGACUCCAUGAAGUUGGAAUCGCUAGUAAUCGUGGAUCAGCAUGCCACGGUGAAUACGUUCCCGGGCCUU